GGGCUGCUCCUUCCCUAGGGGCUUUUGGGAUCAGCUGGUUCCCCACUUGGCGUGAAUGGCUAUUAGGAGGUAUCACAGAGGUAUAGGAGGGUCUUUCUGAGAGGGACUCCUGGGUAUUCCGAUGGCAACUAUAUUCGAGGACUUCUGUACUUCCCUUUUAGCACUGUGGCUUUUGUUUUUUGUUUUCUUAUGCUGGCUUCUAGAGUUGUGGACGUAGCAACAUCCGCAGACACCUACAUGAACCCUAGGAAGAUUUUUUAGUAGAUUAAAGACCCACCUGCUAUCGAAGAUGAUUCUUAGUCGUGCUUUGCAUUUGUAUGGCACAUUACAGGGAAUAAAGCACUCUCGAAUUCAA
rnacentral:lncRNA from 10 species